ACCAUGUGUACCUAUUGUACGCAGGUCAAGAACAAUUGUCUUAGAAAUGUUUGGCAAAUUACAUCAUUCACUAAUCAUUCGCCUUUAUCAGCUUCUCACUUCCGUUGAGAACUAACAAACAAAAUAACAUCAUUUCCAUUGCAUCAGUAAAUGGCAGUGUGAUGCAUAAAUACAUACUAAAUACAUAUAGUACCCAGUUUCUUUUUUGGCUAUCAAAAGAAGAGCACAAUUUCGCAAAAAUAUCCAGAAAGCUUGAAUAUCAGCUACUACAAGUUUCCAUACUAAAUACAUAACAGUUCGUAAAAUGACAUCAUACAUAACAUUCAAAUUAAUUAUGUUGUGCUACUCGAUUACUUGGUUAUCGUGUUUGGAAAAAACCGUGGAUGGCGACGUACAAAGUGACGACUGGUCUACAUGGGUAACAUCGAUAAAGGUUAAAGCGGCCAAGCGCUGGACAAGGAACGGAAUCUGCGAUCAUGAUAUGAUGACCUCAGUACUUUUACGAGUCAUACUUGAUAUACAGGACAACAUGAAAAAUGGCGAUGCAGUAAAAAGAAUCCCUCCACUUGACCCAUUAAAUAUUUCCAGACUGGAAUUUGAUAUAAAAAUCAAUAAAAACCACAAAUAUGGGAUUAAGGGAGAACUUAGGAAUGUGGUCGCAGAAGGAAUGUCCACGUUCAAAGUUACGGAUAUUAAAAGUGACAUGAUGGAGAUGGAAGCAAACGUGUCUUUGUUAAUCGACACAUUAAGACUUUUUGGUCAGCGUUCUCAGAAUGUGAUUAUGAUAUGCGUGGAAAAAUUGCAAGAAUUUUCCCCAUUUCUGGAAACGGUACAUUUUUCCUUCAGCCAAAACAAUUACAAGUUGCUGUCUUCACGAAACUCAGAUAUAGUAAAGAAGGACAACUGGAAAUUUCACAUUUUGACUUUCAUGUCAAUGUGACUGAUAUUUUUGUAAAGUUUAAUGGAUUUCGAGGAGCUUGGAAAAUUAUUAGCAGGGGCAUCAAUAAAAUCUUGAACUCUUUCGGGUUAGCAAUAUUUAACAAAUUGGAGCCCAGAUUACAUGACAGAAUCCGUCAACGUACAAUUAACGAGAUUAAUAUGAAACUUUUGGACUGGAAAUUUAACGAAACAGUAAUGAUGGAAAUGCUACAGAUUCCGAUUCGUUGCUUAUUUGGAUGAUACGUUAAUGGAUUUGUUAAGGAUACAUAUUCCUUGAUUAAUUGCUGAAAGUGUAGAAUAAAGUUAUCUCUAUUUGCCUUAAAG